UACGGAGGAGGCAAGCGGUAUACGGCAUUAUUGGGCGUAAAGCGUCCGUAGGUGGUGAUUCAAGUCAGCGGUUAAAGCGUGGGGCUUAACCUCAUACAGGCCGUUGAAACUGGAUUGCUAGAGUGCGGUAGGGGUCGAGGGAAUUCCCAGUGUAGCGGUGAAAUGCGUAGAUAUUGGGAAGAACACCGGUGGCGAAAGAGCUCGACUGGGCCUGCACUGACACUGAGGGACGAAAGCUAGGGGAGCGAAAGGG
rnacentral:rRNA from 1 species